UCCCUGGUGGCCCAGUGGGUAAGGCUCCGCUCUCCCAGUGCAGGGGACCUGGGUUCAAUCCCUGGUCAGGGAA
rfam:TPA: Bos taurus chromosome 19, whole genome shotgun sequence.